CUUAAAAUAUAAAAUAUUUCAUAAAAUAGCUUCCCAAUAAAAAUUCGUAAAUUAUCUUCUUGCUAUGUCUUUAAUACCCUUUUCAUUUCUUGUGCUAUAAAUCAAAGUUUAUUUUACCCCAAGAAAAUCUCAGUGACUCGACAUAAAAGAUUACAUUUAAAUUUUUAUUUUUGUGCAACUGAAACUGGCGCUUAUCUAGACUCCAGCUUGAGCUCAACGCAAACUCAGCCACGAUUAAGCAUCGUCGGUUACCUGCACCCAAAACUGAUGCUGUGGGGCGUUUUGUUGAAAAAGAGAACCAAAUCAAUUACACGUGUUGUUAGAUGGCUCUUAUCCUGCUGCCAGUUAUCAUUGGACUUGCCUGCGGCGGAGUUGGAGCUGCCACCCAUCAAUUAUGGGGAAAUCAAGACGUGGUAAAAACAACUACAGCCACGCAACGCAGCUGAUAUUCUUGAGUGAAACAGAUCACGUAACGGUCCAAGGGAUUUAUAGCUGCAGGCAAGGAUAUAUAUUUUUAAAUUCCGCUUAUGAAUUUAUUACACGCAGCAGCUCUUACCGGCUUGCCAGACAGCAACAGCAGAAAACGUUGACUGAGGUUUGGCUGCGUGAGUGAAAUGAUGCAUGCAACUUGCUUGGGAAAAGCCAAACACGAUGCCGUCUGUCAUGCCACAUGCCACAUAGCAUCGGCAGCCUCACUCCUUUUGUCAUCGGCAAGUGAUAUGCGCACAUGACACAACGACAACGUUGCAUGGAAUACGCAAUUUGCAUAUCUGGCCACAUUUGCAUGGAAUACCGCACCCAGCAGCAGCGAGCAGGGAACAGUAGGAGCUGCUGGAUUUAGCGCAGCUGAAGCUAACGAAAAUGUGCUAAAAACUUUGCCUUGAUUGACGGCAGCAGUCACAGCACAGCGCAGCACUGAGAAUCGAAGUUCUGCACUGAAAGUUACCCAGCAAAAAUACGUUGGGGAAACAAAUGCGUUUAUAAUGAUUUGAAAAUUUUCUUAUAGAAAAUAAAGUUUCAACGAAGUCCUAAGUGCGAUUUUCAACUCUGAAGCAAAUACAC